GUUCGAGCGUCAUUAUAACCACUCAAGCCUGGCUUGGUAUUGGAGUUUGCGGUUUCGCAGCUUCUAAAAUCAGUGGCGGUGCGGUGUGGCUCUACGCGUAGUAAUUCUUCUCGCGAUGGAGUUCCCCCCGGUUGCUUGCCAGAACCCCCUAAUUUUUACAGGUUGACCUCGGAUCAGGUAGGGAUACCCGCUGAACUUAA
rnacentral:misc_RNA from 1 species